rnacentral:rRNA from 1 species
GGGACUGAGAACCCGCCCAGACUCCUACCGGAGGCAACAGUGGGGAAUAUUGGACAAUGGGCGCAAGCCUGAUCCCGCCAUGCCGCGUGAAUGAUGAAGGCCUUAAGGUUGUAAAGCUCUUUUGUCCGGGACGAUAAUGACGGUACCGGAAGAAUAAGCCCCGGCUAACUUCGUGCCAGCAGCCGCGGUAAUACGAAGGGGGCUAGCGUUGCUCGGAAUCACUGGGCGUAAAGGGCGCGUAGGCGGCCAUUCAAGUCGGGGGUGAAAGCCUGUGGCUCAACCACAGAAUUGCCUUCGAUACUGUUUGGCUUGAGUUUGGUAGAGGUUGGUGGAACUGCGAGUGUAAAGGUGAAAUUCGUAAAUAUUCCCAAGAACACCAGUGGCGAAGGCGGCCAACUGGACCAAUACUGACGCUGAGGGCGCGAAAGCGUGGGGAGCAAA